rnacentral:rRNA from 1 species
GGUUGCGAUCAUACCAGCACUAAUGCACCGGAUCCCAUCAGAACUCCGCAGUUAAGCGUGCUUGGGCGAGAGUAAUACUAGGAUGGGUGACCUCCUGGGAAGUCCUCGUGUUGCAACCC